CUGACAGGAGGAUCCUGGACCAGCUCUGGAUUUGCCUCGUCCCCAUUCCUGCUGAGAGGAAUUCUCAGGAAAACUCCUCCUGGCUGAGCCCUGACCCUUCAGCCCGUGCCCGUGGUGCUUUGUGAGGGCCCAAACGCUGCCUUGGGCACAGCCUGGACCUGACACCUUUGGGACAAUUUCUCCUUCCCCAAAGGAGCAGAGCCCUCAAGGAUCCUGGAAGGGAAACUGAGGCACAGACAGUGCUGGCAGCCCCAGGUUGAUCUCCAGACCUGCUCAGGAUGCCCUGGGGAAGCAGAAAGGGAACAAAGGGAUUUUCCUGCUGGGUGCUGCCACAGGAAGCCCUGGGAGCCACCACGGGGGCUUGGAGGCCUCUGUGUCACUGCAGAGGAAAUUCCUGUUCCCUUGCCCAGUGCAAAAGCACAAUUAAAGAUUAAUUAAUUGCCUGUAGGCAGCGAGCUCACACCCUGCAGCAUCUCCUGGAGGGGUUCCUUCUCACCACUGCACCAUCAGAGCCACAAAAACCCCAAAAAUUCAAUUCCCCUUUGGCUAGCCUCGGCUUUGUGCUUGUUUCUGCCUUUGUAAGUUAAGCACAGAACGGAUUCCUCACAAGGGAAGUUCUAAAGUCCGUGCUGGAGCAAUCAUUAAAUGAAAACUUGGCCCUGAGGGUCGGUGCCCAUCUCCCAGCCUGACCUGGGGUGUGAGUCCUGCUCUUUCCCACAUCAUUCCUGCUUCUUCCCAUGUCAUUCCUGCUCCUUUCCGCAUCAUUCCUGCUCUUUUCCAUGUCACUCCUGCUCCUUUCCGCAUCAUUCCUGCUCUUUCCACGAUUCCUGCUCUUUUCCACAUCAUUCCUUCUCUUUUCCACAAUUCCUGCUCUUUUCCACAUCAUUCCUGCUCUUUUCCAUAUAAUUCCUGCUCCUUCCCAUGUCAUUCCUGCUCUUUUCCAUGUCAUUCCUUCUCUUUUCCAUAUAAUUCCUGCUCUUUUCCACGAUUCCUGCUCUUUUUCACAUCAUUCCUGCUCCUUUCCGCAUCAUUCCUGCUCUUUCCACAAUUCCUGCUCUUUCCACGAUUCCUGCUCCUUCCCAUGUCAUUCCUGCUCUUUUCCGCAUCAUUCCUGCUCUUUUCCAUAUAAUUCCUACUCUUUCCAUGAUUCCUGCUUUUUUCCACAUCAUUCCUGCUCUUUUCCAUAUAAUUCCUGCUCUUUUCCUUAUAAUUCCUGCUCUUUCCACGAUUCCUGCUCUUUUCCAUGUCAUUCCUGCUCUCCCACCCCUCUGUUUUUCCCAGGACAUUUCCUGCUGGAUCCCCUCGGGUACAAACAUCACAAAGCUGAGGAAACUCCUCCCCAUCUCCUGCUCUCCCCGAGCUGCCAGCCUGCUCUAGAUCAGGGAUUACCCCGGGUUUGGUCCCUGUCUCACCUGGGGGACGAUUCCAUCUCCCUCCAGGGCAGGAAUUAUCCCAGGUUUGGUCCCUGUCUCACCUGGGGGAUGAUUCCAGCACCAUCCAGAUCAGGAAUUAUCCCAGAUUUGGUCCUUGUCUCACCUGGGGGAUGA
ensembl:lncRNA